rfam:Cavia porcellus supercont2_46 genomic scaffold, whole genome shotgun sequence.
AGGUCCUCAAUAAGUAUUUGUUGAAAAAAUAAAUGAAUCAACAAGUCUUAUUUGAGCACCUGUUAUG